AUUAAUCUUAAGCGAGGACAUGUGUCUGACAGACAGAUCUAUGGGAGACCAGCCUCUGCUGGACCUGGACCUGAGCCCAGCUGUGUGUCCUUCAAGAGUGACCAGUCAGUGGGUCACCCCAUGAAUUUCAAAGGAGGCCGGCCGUCUGCUGCAGAGAGAGUCCACCAGGAGAGCUCAGAGGUUCCCAGUGGUCAGUCUGCCCAGCAGCAUCAAACACACCUGGACUCCAUAUUUAUGCUGCUGGAGGAGAACAUUGUCACUUUUGUGAAGAACGAGCUGAAGAAGAUCCAGAAGGGUCUGAGUUCAGAUUACCCAG